rnacentral:lncRNA from 1 species
UUUUUUUUUUUUUUUUGAGCCAGGGUCUCACUACUUAAUUCAGGCAGGCCUCGAGCUCCCUGAAGCCUGGGAUUAGAGAGAGGUGUGAACCACUACGUUUUGCCAAAACCAACAGUUUUAAGAAGCUAAAUUGCAAUUGGUGUUUAGAGCGGGGGGGGGGCUCUGUAUACUUUAAUUAGAAAAAAUUUAAAAAUGUGAAAACUCAUAGGCUUUUAAGGAGGAUUUCAGAACUAGAAAAUGGCUGAAGUGACUCGCACUAGCUUUUCUUAACCUCAAGGUUUCCCCAGGAUCUCUUAAGGGCAGUGGGGUACCGGAGGGGCGUUGCGGUCUCUAGCGGUGGGUAAGCAGGUGCGGUGGUAGUGGGUAGGAACCGUUCCUCUGGAUGAAACUGCACUUUUCGUGAGACAGCGGCAGGAGCGCGAGCAGGCACAGUGCAAGGACCCUUUCCAUAAUCCAUUCUUAAAUCGACUGAGGUUGAUUCAGUUGUAAACUGAAGCUCGAGUCAAACCCUGAGCAUUACAUUUUCUCAGAACGCUCCCUUCCUAGCCCGGUCAGUGAUUUCCUGCUAUGGGCCCCUCCCCCAAGGGGCGCACACACCCAAUUCUGGGGGGACCUCCGAGCGGACUCAAGCCUUUCUCCUACCUGAAGUGGAGACCUCGGGAAGCCGCGGGGCUGGCGUUUCAUUCAUAAUACAUGAAUUCAGGGGAGGAGGGAGGCGGGGGCUGGGCCUUUGGUCUAGGCUGUUUCAAAUCCUGGCAUCGAGCUGACGGGGAAGAGGACCUGGGAUUGAGCCGCCCAGGGAAGGAGCCUUGCACGAUAACGGAAGCUUUUUGCACUCCACCACCUCUGGCCGCUGGGAAGACGUCAUCGCUUCCGCCCUACUUCCUCCUCCUGUUGGCGGCGGUGAGAAUCCAAUAUGGAGUAAAUCGGUGGAGUCUAGAGAUGGGGCUCGGACGGGGCGCCCUGCACCGCCUCCAAGGCGCACCUCCCCCGGCCGCCGACCGCUCCCCGGAACCGUGA